rnacentral:lncRNA from 1 species
UCUCUUUUCUUUGCAUACACAACUGCCGUGGGAUCACUCUAUGACACAAAAAGACAUGUAAAUACAUUUGCUUGUGAAUAUAAAAAUAAUAAAAAAAAAAACAGAAGGCAUAUGGGUAUGUAUCCACUUAUGUCAUAUAAAUAUAGACAUAUAUUAGUUAAAUAACUUUAGUUGUCAUAUAAAUAUAGACAUUUAUUAGUUAAAUAACUUUAGUUAGUAAUCCAUCGUUAAAAUACAGCAGCAUUUUAUGUAUGCUAGUAUCAGCCAGUAAAAAGAUAUACGGCUGAUAAAUGUUCAUUAUCAAAGAAUUUUAUCUUGCACAUAUAACAUAUUUGACUAGUGCUCAAAAUUGCAAAAACAAUAAAACCACCAACCAUGACUUGUUAUACAUUAUCUGGAACUCUCAAGUUACUGCUCCUUACUGGAUUACAUUGGAGAUAGACAGUGUAUAUAACAAACUAUUCUUCUUUGUCUAAGUUUAGAAUUUUGGUGCCAGCACUAAGCGUUAUUAAGAUCAUAUAUCCCUAGACCCUUUAUGAACAGAGAAAGGAAAUUGACAGGGCCAUUAUGAACAAAUAAGCAGAUCAUAUAAGGAGGAUACAAGAUAACAUGAGAAUCAAUCACCAAGACUAUCAACAGCAUGAACAUGGCAUUAUCAGACAUAAGACAACAAUAAUAUGAAGGCGUACCUUUGAUGCGAUGUCAAGAUCACGUAACUUUGAAGCAGAUAAAGAUAACUGCAAUAUAUAUUCAAAAACAUAAGAACGAAUACAGAUACAUGAAAAAGCAGAAAAGGAGUAAUCCAUGCAUAUGCUGCACGAAAUGAAAAUUGUCAGUACGAUGUGGGUCAACUGACAGGCAAUAUAUAUCUGUCAUAAACAGAACAUGCAGAAAACCAUCAUUUCGGAUUCUGACAAUCACUUCUAAUAUUAAAUCUUAUAAGCAGGCAAUAAUAUAUGUAAUUAAGUUUUAUAUAACAACAGGAUGUGACACGUCAAUUACAAGCAUUGAACCACAUUUAAUUUGUUAUCAUAUGACUUGUUUCCUUUUCUCCAGGAAAGUUUCCAAGGAGAUCCUCAGGUAAGGUCCACAUCAAUACAGGAAUAUUACAAUUACUUGGUGGUCCAUGUUAUGGAAAGACAUUCUUAUCCUCGUAACAACAUAAUCCUUAAUCCACAAUUUUUUAUAAAGUUAAUGGUUUGUCUUAUGCAAACCAGCAUUCACAAAAUCAUGUUCCAUUCAGGAGAGCAUUAUCAUGGGGAAUCUUCACAGUGGUACAAGUCAAAUUUGAUCACGAGGGGUAUGAGUCAAAUUUGAUAAAUGAGGCAUAACAGAAUAGUCAACUUUGAGGAUACACAGGAAAACCACUGUGCAUUCAACAGGAUCAAACAUCAACUUUCUCAACGUUCACAAGGCCUUUGUGCAUUCAACACCAUUCUUUUUUUAUUUACGUUAUCCAAUCUUAAUCUAAAAUUCACUUCACAGAAUGUUGUCAUUGGGUAUAAGCAGUUAAACUUACUGUUCUCCCUAUGCAAAACAAAAGCAGUUGCUUGGUGUGAAACCGUCAAACCAACACCAGCAAAAGAUCAGCCACAAGAAAAAAAAAAAUGCUUCUCAAAGAAGCACUUGACAGGCGAAUAUUCUUUUGAGAAGGUGCUUAACUCCUUUGUCCUUUGAAGAAGCACCAAGUAAAAUAUUCGCCCUCCAAAAUUCCGAAUACUUCUCUUACAUUAUUAAAAAAAGGCAUGUUUGGAAUUGCAGUUGAUUCUUGAAUAAGAAUUUACUCCCGAUUAUGUUCGAAUUAUCAAAUAAUUUUUAUCAAAUAUAAACAAUUUAAGUUGUUCUUUUAGGGAUGUUACACUGACAAGUCAUCAAAGAAGUAAUAAUAACAAACAUAAUUUGGGUAUAGAUUUUCAAACGAGUGACCAUUUGAGAAUCCAUCACAAUUACAGAAACCAACGAAGUCAGAUUUAAAAAAGUAAAAUAAAAAAUUAUAAAUAAAUUAAAAAACAUAAACUAAUCAUAAAUUUACAAAUUUUUAAUUAAUUAAUUAAUUAAUUAACUGAAAAUAGUUUAUUAAUAGUGGCAGCGAAAGACUCAUAUAAAUUCAGGUAUACAGAUAUACCUCGAUUUGGGUGAAAAGGGCUUGAAGACCGCGAGAUUUGAAGAAGAAAUCAACGGCGUCGUUUUGUCCAGAAACAUUGUUCUGAUCAGCCGCGGUGGUGGGCCGAAGCUGGGCCCCACCUACGGCUUGUUUCCCUCCCCUCACAUCACUCCCAGACAAACAUAAUCCCAUCUGUUUUUUUUUUUCUCUCUCUCUGUCUUUAUUCUCAAGAGUACGGAGUCUCACUGUUCGGUCGAUGUUCUUUAAUCGCUCAAAUCCGUAGCCUCUGACAGAGAACUGGGGCGGGGCUUUACUUUUGCCCUCUAUUUAUAGGCUUCUGCGCUUGAGUCGUAUUUGAAUUUGACUCUGUUUCUGCUGCGAAAAUGUCAAGAAAAAAAAAAAAGUUUUUUUUUUUUUGUAUUUGAAUUUGAAUACUUCUAGGGGGAUUGAUGAUGGAUUGUUUUACUGUAUUUGGAAGUUGGAACGUUUAGGCCCACCUAAUUAUCAUUAAUAAUAGAUAGUUAUAUCAAAAUUUACCAACUUCAUUUUAGCUAUGAUAUUAGCUUGCGCACUAUGAAAUGAUUAGGUUUUGUAAAUUUUUUUUUUUUUUUUUACAGUAUCUUAGAGAAUAAGUUUCCAUUGUAUGUAACCGGCUAGAGCCCCUCCCUCACAAAUGUGAGGGAAGGGGUUCGAGCCUCCGCAGUCGCAUUGUAGGGGUUUAAUUUAAAUAUCCUUCCUUGUAGCCCUUGAGCUCGAGUGAAGGCAGUCUUUCUCCCAGGAUGGGAGUUUGACAUCCCUCGAAUAUUUGAGAGGGUUAAAAAAUCUUAGCGGUGCCAUAUCAGCAUUAAUGUCAACAGAGCUCAGUAUAAAUAUAUGAUUGUACAUAUCAAUUAUACUCUCAUGUAAUAUGAGUUAAGCCCUUGAGCUCGAGUGAAGGCAGUCUUUCUCCCAGGAUGGGAGUUUGACAUCCCUCGAAUAUUUGAGAGGGUUAAAAAAUCUGAGCGGUGCCAUAUCAGCAUUAAUGUUUAAGACAAAUUCUAGAAUCUAAAGUAAAGAAUCGGUAAAUUUAUAAAGAAAUAUGAAGAAACAGCAAGGUAUUGAAGAAUUCAAUUUCUCAUUAUAUUUGGACAUUUGGACGUCAUUAAUGUUAAUUGAUUUUUUUCCGCGUAAAAAAGUUUCGGAUUUAUUUUGUUCCUCCAAACGCCAUUCAUUGGAAAUAAGUUUAUUUUUCUGACAACUUCAACUCAUAAAUUUUAAUUAUUUUGUUAUAAUAAUAGUACGAACAAUUCUAUGUAUUACGAACAAAAAAAAAAAAGAAUCUUAAUUUUAUAUCAUAUAUAAUUAUAUAUAUAUAGACUCAAUAAGAGUAUUAUUUAUCAUGUAAUUUAUUAAACUAAUCUCACCUAAAAAGUUGUUGAGAAAAGACAGUAAGUUAAUAAAUAUUUCGUCUUCCCCAAGGUUUUUGAUUAGAAGAAUGACUUGAUAUGGCUGAUAUUGAUAAAUUAAAAAGGGAAAAAUAAUAAACAAUGGAGGAAUUUUCAAAUUAGGUCAACAAUCGUAGUCUAUUUUAUUUCGUAAUAAUGGCAAUGACGAAGCCCUUAUAACAUAAGCUUGCAAACGUAAUCAAGAUAUCCGUGGAAAACAAGCAACAAUUCCAAUGGGGUGGAAUAAAAUGUCUAAUAUUUAAAUUUUUUAUUUCAAUUUCUGUUUAUAUAAUUUAUUUAAUUUAUAAUAAAGAUGAAUAAUUAAAUAAAUUUUAAAAUAUCUUAAAAUAAGAAUAAUACUAUAAAAUUAUGAUAAAUGAAAGUUAUUGAUUAUUAUGAAAACAAUAAGAAGAGAAAUGGUAUGUAUUAAUUUCUACAUGAAGGAAACUGCCAACCUCCCUUUAAUAUGUUGUGACAAUCAUUAGAAUUUCAAUAAAAUGAUAAACUCCUCUACAUAAUCGAUAGUCAUUGAUCACGUACGUGUACAUUUAAGUUGGAAAAAAGAAGAAGAAGAUAAUUCAAGUAUAAUAAAAUCAGAAUGCGUAUGUCAUAACUAAUUUCACUAAAUGGUUAUAAUACGUUUUAUGCACUUGAGAUUUUCUCAAAAUGAGAAAAGAAAAAGGCUCAUUAGUCACUCCUAUAUAUAUGUGUGUGUGUGCGCGCGCGCUUAAACUUAACUCAGGAUAAUCUAUAUUAUAUAGAACGUAAAAUUGAGUUACGUAUAAAAACGUAACUCAAGUGUCACAUUAUACGGCGCGCUUAAACUUUGAUAAUCUAUAUUAUAUGCCCAUAAAAUCAAGAAUUUUACAAUACAUUAAAACCAAUACAAUCAUCUAAUGUAUAUAUAAUAUAUAUAGUUAAAUUUGAUAUAAUCAUCAAUUGCAUGAUAAUUUUACAAAAUAUAAAUAUUAUCUAUUUGUUGAAUGACUAACUUUGUAGUAUGAUGUUUAUAGAAUUUUUCCGUAAAAUCAUUAUUGUAAUGAGGAUUGUUGAGGGACGUGUUAUUAAUGAAAAGGACUGCACAUGUUAUCCAAUAAUUGAGACACUUGUCUUGUUAGAGGACAUUUUCAAAGAUUAAAGGUAUAGAAGCCAUUUGCAAAAUUUCCAAGCGUGGAGAACAUGCAUGCAUGCACGUGGAAUUCCAUGCAUAAAAUGAUAAAAUACUCGUCAAGUCUCACCUUAAAUUGUAGUUUCUAUCGUUUGCAAAGAAGUUUCAUUAUUUAGGUUGUGUUUGGGAUUGAAGUUGGGCAGCUGUAGCUUAAAAACUACAGUACUAAAGUGUUUGGUAAACACUAGCUGCUGUAACUUUUAAGCUAUAUUGAUAUGAUUUUUCACUUGUAUAAUACAAAAUCUAUUAUAUCUUUAAUAAUUUUAUCAAAAUUAUUAUUUAAAAUUUAUAUUUACUAUAUAUUAUUAACUUUUAUUUCAUAAUUACAGCUUGUUUUUCACAACAGCUGUAGCUUAAAAGCUACAGCACCUCAAUCCCAAACGCACCCUUAAUUUCCAAAUCUUGGGUCGUGCCGCCUCGUACAUGAAUAAGAUUACUUGCCACGAUUACCAAUUUUUUAUCACUUUAUUAAUUCCUUUUCUUCCUAUACAUGAAUCUUGUUAAAUUUUACUUGCUAUUUUACUUUUUUUUUUUAAUUUUAAAUUCUUUUCUAUAUCAUACUUUGAAUCUUGUUUAAGGAAUCUUUGUAUUCUUUUGUCCGCAUGUCAUGUGCAACACAAAUAAUAUUUUACGUUACACUUGAUAUUCAUUCAUAUAAAUUAAUCAAGGAUAAGAUAUAUAUUGCCAAAUUGAUUAAAAUAAUUAUUAAUUUAAAAUUAAUAAUUUUUUUAUCCAUAACACUGAUAAUAAAGUCCGAUUAUAUAUAGGCAUGCACACUUUUUCCAUGGGGGAUUGAUAAUAAAAUUUUAUAGUGGGUAAUUAGGUGCAACCGUGUUGGUAGAUCUACCUACCUAAUAUUAAUUAAUGAUUGAAAAGAAGAACAUUUAGUUCAUAAUUAAACCAAGAUUGAAUCUUUUUUUUUCUGUUUUUCUUUUUUAAAUGACAAAUGAGAGAUGAAUUCAAAUUAAUCAGGAAUUUUUAUCCGUUAUUUAUUAGAGUUGUGCUAGUAUUUUUUUUUUUUUAAAAAACUACUAAUUACAACAACCUUAAGUAAAACCAACAUAUAUUAUAUAGGUCAUCAUGUGAGCACAGAAUCCGACAUUCCUUUGAGACUUAUAUCUCUCUCAAAUUAAAAUACCGCAAACAAGAAUAUUAAACAAAGUAAUAAUCAAAAGGGAUAUUAUCAUUUUACUACUAAAGUUUUUCUGACAUAUCAAGUCAGUAUUAUGCUUUGGUAAAAACUACAUUUUACUACCAAACAUUUAAUUUAUUAUCACUUUACUACUUUUCCGUUAAAAAUAAGUUAAUAUUUAACGGAAUAUGAGUUAAAAGACUAUUUUAGCCAUGAAAAGAAAAGAAAUAACAAAAAAGAAAACUACAAAUUACUGUAGCACGCAUCCAUUGUAAUGUGUAACACCGUAUCACGUUUUUUGUCCUUAUUGUAAAGUGUCGUUAGAUGUAAAACGAUUGAAUCCAACGAUCAAAAUCGCUUAAUAGAUUAUUGAGGCAUGAACUGUCAACCGUUGAAGCCAGUUAUCAUCAGAACCUUUCUCCAACUCUUGAUCCUCAUUCUCCUCUCCCUGACCAUUAACUUUUUCUCCAGACCUCUCCUCUGACCUGGUCUCACCCUCAUUGCUAUCAGAUUUCUUCUUACCAUCAUCCGAAUCAGAUUUGUUGCAAGCAAUUAAUUUAUUCCCACAACUGGCUUUUGAGUGCGAAGUAGAAGAAAGCUAAGUACAAUCACACUCACAAGGCAAGCAUUUCUUCAAACCGAAUUAUUUCCCACAUCACACAUCCAAUGACAGAGUCCCCUGGUUUCUCUAUACGGCUUUCCCCUUAAUCAUUUUAACAAACAGCUUCAAUACACAAAGAUUAGAGCAAAAAAAGGAAAAAUAAUGGCUAUGUCAACGCUAGGUGAUGACGAAUUAAUGAAAACUAGUUGCCGAGGCAACUCUUGAGAGUCAAGAGUCGCCACGCAAACACAAUCGUGGUCCCUUUUUGCUGUAUAUGUAGAAAAAAAAAAAGAAGAAGCAAGCAGCACGUGGUGGGAGAAAAGAAAAGGUGGGAGAAAUCUUUUAUAAAAAAAAAAGAGAGAAAAGAAAAGUUAGAGAUUUGGCUUUGCAAAGAUGUAGGGUCCUGUGUGUGUUUGUGUUUUGUUUGUUGCUUCUUGUGCUUGGUUGACCGUGAGAGAGAGAGGGGCCGUGAGAGAGAGAGAGCGAUCGGAGAUGGAGGGUUACAAUUUGGGAAUAAAUUUUCAAACGAGCGACUAUUUAAGAAUACAUCACAAUUACAAACAUGAACGAAGUCACAUUUAAAAAAGUAAAAUAAAAAAUUAUAAAUAAAUUAAAAAACAUAAACUAAUCAUAAAUUUUUAAUUAAUUAAUUAACUGAAAAUAGUUUAUUAAUAGUGGCAGUGAAAGACUCAUAUAAUUCAGGUACACACAUAUACCUCGAUUUGGGUGAAAAGGGCAUGAAGGCCGCGAGAUUUGAAGAAGAAAUCAACGGCGUCAUUUUGACCAGAGACAUUGUGGUGAUAAGCCGCGCUGGUGGGCCGGAGGUGGGCCCCACCUACGGCUUGUUUCCCUCCCCUCACAUCACUCCCAGACAAACAUAAUCCCAUCUGUUUUUCUUUUUCUCUCUCUCUCUCUUUAUUCUCGAAAAUUAAAAAAUUAAUCGAAAAAAUUUACCUAAAAGUUUUUGCAAGUUUGUGUCAAGAGUACGGAGUCUCACUGUUCGGUUGAUGUUCUUUAAUCUCUCAAAUCCGUAGCCUCUGACAGGGAACUGGAGCGGGGCUUUAUUUAUAGGCUUUUUGCGCUUGAGUCGUCGUAUUUGAAUUUGACUCUGUUUCUCCGGCGAAAAUGUAAAGAAAUUUCUACUUUUUAAUUCAAUUGUUUUUUCAU